GACGAACGCUGGCGGCGCGCCUAACACAUGCAAGUCGAGCGAUAAGCACCUUCGGGUGUGGAAAGCGGCGAACGGGUGAGUAACACGUGAGGAACCUGCCCCAGACUCCGGGAUAACAGUGGGAAACCGCUGCUAAUACCGGGUACUCCAUUUCUACGGCAUCGCAGAUAUGGGAAAGAUUUAUCGGUCUGGGAUGGCCUCGCGGCCUAUCAGUUUGUUGGUGGGGUAACGGCCUACCAAGACUACGACGGGUAGCUGGCGUGAGAGCGUGGCCAGC
rnacentral:rRNA from 1 species